AUUGAACGCUGGCGGCAUGCUUUACACAUGCCAGUCGAACGGUAACAGGCCUUAGGGUGCUGACGAGUGGCGAAAGGGUGAGUAAUGCAUAGGAACGUGCCCAGAGGUGGGGGAUAACGCAGCGAAAGCUGUGCUAAUACCGCAUGUGAUAUGAGGAUGAAAGAGGGGAACCAGGCAGCAAUGUUUGGCAUCGCGACUUUGGAGCGGCCGUUGUCCGAUUAGGUAGUUGGUGGGGUAAAGGCCUACCAAGCCGACGAUCUGUAGCUGGUCUGAGAGGGCGACCAGCCACACUGGGACUGAGACACGGCCCAGACUCCUACGGGAGGCAGCAGUAGGGAAUCUUUGGACAAUGGGGGCAAUCCUGAUCCAGCACUGCGGCGGGCUGGAAGAAGUCCUUCGAUUGUAAAACCGCGUUUGUACGGAACGAAGAUGGUCUGGCUAAUACGUGCGGCUAAUGACGGUACCGUAAGAAUAAGCGCCGGCUAACUACGUG
rnacentral:rRNA from 1 species